AUGAGGACACCAUCCUGCCCUUGGGGACACCAUCUCUUCCCUGGGGACACCAUCCUGCCCUUGGGGAGACCAUCUCUCCCCUGGGGACACUGUCCCUCCUGUGGGGACAUCAUCUGGUCCAUGAGGACACCAUCCUGCCCUUGGGGACACCAUCUCUCCCCUGGGGACACCAUCUCUCCCCUGGGGACAGUGUCCCUCCUGUGGGGACAUCAUCUCUUCCAUGAGGACACCAUCCUGCCCUUGGGGACAGCAUCUCUCCCAUGGGGACACCAUCUCUUCCCUGGAGACACCACCAUGCCCUUGGGGACACCAUCCCUCCCCUUGUCCUGCCCCUGGGGACACUGUCCCUCCCAUGGAGACACCAUCUGUCUCCUGGGGACACUGUCCUGCCCUUGGGGACACCAUCCCUCCCCUUGUCCUGCCCCUGGGGACACUGUCCCUCCCAUGGAGACACCAUCUGUCUCCUGGGGACACUGUCCUGCCCUUGGGGACACCAUCCCUCCCCUUGUCCUGCCCCUGGGGACACUGUCCCUCCCAUGGAGACACCAUCUGUCUCCUGGGGACACUGUCCUGCCCUUGGGGACACCAUCCCUCCCCUUGUCCUGCCCCUGGGGACACUGUCCCUCCCAUGGAGACACCAUCUGUCUCCUGGGGACACUGUCCUGCCCUUGGGGACACCAUCCCUCCCCUUGUCCUGCCCCUGGGGACACCAUCCCUCCCCCGGGGACACCAUCUCCCCCCUGGGGACAUCGUCCCUCCCCUGGGGACACCACCCCCCCUGUCCCCCCUGCCCCCCCUCUCACCGUAGCGCAGGUUGCAGCGCACGAGCUGUCUCUGCCAGGGCUGGCGGGAGCCCAGAGCGUGGGCCUGGCGCAGGGACCGACGGGCCCCCCCGAAAUCACCCAGGCUCAGCAACACCUGGGGGGGACAACACGUCAGGGGGGCACCAAACCCCCAGGGUGGGAGAAGGAGAUGGGGGAAUCCCCAAAAACCCCCAAACUCAGCCAGACCUGGGGGUGACAACAGGGUUGGGGGGGGACACAAUCCAUCUAUGGGGCCACCAAACCCCUGGUGGGGUUGAAGCCCCAAAUCCCCCAAACUCAGCAAGACCUAGGGGUGACAGCAGAGUCGUGGGGGUGACACAACCCAUCAGUGGGGCCACCAAACCCCUGGUGGGGAGGAAGCCCCCAAAUCCCCCAAACUCAGCAACACCUGGGGGGGGAACAGGGACACACAACCCAUCAGUGGGGCCACCAAACCUCCAGGAUGGG
rnacentral:lncRNA from 1 species